rnacentral:lncRNA from 1 species
CUACAUCAUGGAGUAACAUAAAGUGAAUGGGAACCCCUUUCAAUAAGAUAGUAUGGAAGUAUACGGAAAGAUGCAACACUUAUUGAGACACGACUCUACAAUAUGCGUUUCUCAUAUAAGAUUCAUUCAACUCAUACUUACUAUGAAUUACGGAUUCAUGACAAUGAAAGGAAAGGGAUAACCAUUCCAUACCUUAUCACAAUCUGUUCAAUAACUAUGUUGAACUCGUUUCGUCGCACCUUAAUAUACAACAACGAUAAUAAUGCUGUUGUUAAGCUACAAAAUGUACAACUAUCGUACAACGAACGAUAAACCUAUUUUAUAUUAAAACGGGAAGCAUCUUCCCUGUUUUGGUUACAUUUCUCACUCCCUAUAUUGCAGCAACAACCCAAACAAUAACCAAUAGAUAUAUAAAAUGUCACACCUUCUUUUCCACUAUACACCCGCAAGGGCAUAAAGGAGUUUUUCCAAUUAAAGGACAAUCGGAACGGGAUUUGGUUAUUAAUUAUUCAGAGUCACCACUUGGGAGAUUUAUGGUGUCCCAAGUCACCAGUUUGAAUCCCCAACCGAGGAAAAAUAUGACUCUGUAACAGCCUGCGAACCAGAAAUCCGAGUAAGGAAUUCUGUUAACCCGGGAGAAGGUGUUAGGCAUUCCCGAUCAGAACGGGAUUUGGUUAUUAAUUAUUUCAGAGUCACCACUUGGGAGAUUAAUGGUGUCCGAAGUCACCAGAUUUAAUCCCGAAUCGAGGAAAAGUAUGACUCAGUAUUACAGUCUGUGAUCCAGAAAUCCGGAUAACGAAUUCUGCUAACUCGGGAGAAGGUGUUAGGCAUUCCCGGGUUCCGUAGUUCUAGCACGGUCGCUUAACUGUUGCAUUUGAUUUUAUCUGAUUUUAGUACAUGCUAACUUAUGUGUCUUUUAUUUAUAUACCGCUUUUACCAUUAUUUAUUUUAAAA